GGGAGGGGAGCCCGGGGCCGAUAGUCUCUGGGAAAAAGCAAAAGGCGGGCGCGAGGCUGCCUCCCAAGGCUCUCUUUGCUUACAGUUCCUCCCGUUUUGCUGAGUUGGGAGUCGCGACCUCCAGCACAGGAUGUGGUGCCACAGGUUGUCCCACCUACAAAGCAGGCUCCAGAACCUGCUGAGGAGAGGAGUCACAUGUUGGGCCUUCCAACAGCUCAACUUCAAAAGCUUAUUUCCAUUAGUCAUCCAUUCGCAUCAUACAGCCUCCGAGUCUCUGAAUUGCGCUUGGCAGCAACAUGAAGAUCAUUUUGAACUGCAAUAUGCAAACACCGUGAUGCGCUUUGAUUAUGUCUGGCUUCGAGACCACUGCCGCUCAGCAUCUUGCUACAACUCUAAGACUCACCAGCGCAGCCUGGAUACUGCCAGUGUGGAUUUAUGCAUCAAGCCAAAGACCAUUCGUCUGGAUGAGACCACACUCUUUUUCACUUGGCCAGAUGGUCAUGUGACUAAAUAUGAUUUGGAUUGGCUGGUGAGAAACAGCUAUGAAGGGCAGAAACAAAAGGUCAUCCAACCUAGAAUCUUAUGGAAUGCUGAAAUCUAUCAGCAAGCUCAAGUUCCAUCUGUAGAUUUCCAAAGCUUCUUAGAAACCAAUGAGGGAUUGAAGAACUUUCUGCAAAAUUUUCUGCUGUAUGGAAUUGCAUUCGUAGAAAAUGUCCCUCCCACUCAAGAACACACAGAGAAGUUGGCAGAAAGGAUCAGCUUGAUCAGAGAAACCAUCUAUGGGAGGAUGUGGUAUUUUACUUCAGACUUCUCCAGGGGUGACACUGCAUACACCAAGCUGGCUUUGGAUCGGCACACUGACACUACCUAUUUUCAAGAACCCUGUGGCAUUCAAGUGUUUCACUGUCUUAAGCAUGAAGGAACAGGUGGCAGGACACUGCUGGUAGAUGGAUUCUAUGCAGCAGAACAGGUACUUCAAAAGGCACCUGAGGAAUUUGAACUCCUCACCAAAGUGCCAUUGAAGCAUGAAUAUAUUGAAAAUGUUGGAGAAUGUCACAACCACAUGAUUGGGGUUGGGCCAGUCUUAAAUAUCUACCCAUGGAAUAAAGAGCUCUAUUUGAUCAGAUACAACAACUAUGACAGAGCUGUCAUCAAUACUGUACCUUAUGAUGUUGUCCAUCGUUGGUAUACAGCACACCGGACUCUGACAGUAGAGUUGAGGAGACCUGAGAAUGAGUUUUGGGUCAAACUAAAGCCUGGCAGGGUCCUAUUUAUAGACAACUGGCGUGUCCUACAUGGCAGGGAAUCGUUUACUGGCUACCGCCAACUCUGUGGCUGCUAUUUAACAAGGGAUGAUGUAUUAAACACUGCUCGUCUCUUGGGGCUUCAGGCUUAAAAUUGACAGCAUUAGGAUUAUGGACACACCUGGCACCCUGGCUACCAGAAUUUCAUAUCAGCAAAUGGCUCCCUUUAUAUAUGGAUGGAGAGACAGAGAGAUGGGUGAAGGUGGAAAGCACCGCAAGGCCUGUCCACUGACGCACGGGAUGCACAACACGUGGUCUAUCCAUGCCGUGGGAUAUUAUUCGGCCAUCCAUCAAAAGACACGAAGUGCUGAUUCAGGCUACCAGGUGGAGGAACCCUCAUGAAAACACGGGUGCUAAGUGAAAGCAGCCCGACCCCAAAAGCCACCGAUUGGUCUUACGAUCCCAUCUCUAGGUAAGUCUCCCGAAGAGGCAAACCUCUGUGGACCGGAAGCACAUGAGGGGUUGCCUGGGGGCUACGGGGGAGGUGGGGAGGGACGGAGGUGCUGUGGGGCGGGGGGGAGGGGGGGGAGUGACUACCUGACAGGUACAGGGGUCUCUUUUUGGGAGUGGUGCCCACGUUUUGGAACUAGAGAGUCGUGUUGGUCGCCCGACACCUCGAGUGUCUGCUUGGUACCACCGGACCCUCCACGUCUGUUUUUUGUUUUUUUGUUUUUCUUUUCUGUACAAUGUCCCCGUGGGGCGGAAAGUGAGCAUUCCCCUCAAAGAGA